GCGGGCGUAGUUCAGUGGUAGAACAUUAGCUUCCCAAGCUAAAAAUGAGGGUUCGAUUCCCUUCGCCCGCU
rnacentral:tRNA from 1 species